AUACUAUAUUGAUGUCCCAUAAAAAUAAAAAUAAAAUAACUAUUUAAGUUGGAAACGUUUUUUCAAGUACUUACUUUGGUUGAAACCAUAUGUUUAUAAAGUUCUAAAUACGAUUUAUAGAUAUCACAGCACGAGGGACAAUUCUCUUCAUAAUCAAUAUUACAUAAACCACCAAUUUCGUCUUGGUCAAGUCUAAAACAGAACGCUGCUGAAUGUCAAUUGGCGGGGGCAGUCACACACGUGAUACAAGCGUAUAAUUAUCGAACUAGGAAAUUUUAAGAAAUUUGGGCCAACUCAAGUCUCUAAGUCUCGAAAGUCAAAAUCAUCAUUAUCAAGACGUAUCAAUACUGUAUCAACUUAAUUUUCUUAUCAGUGUGGUUACCAUAUACCACACAAAGAAGUACGUUGAUCAACUCCACGAUGAAUGGCAUUAACCGUUUGAAAAGUCCGCUUUUUAAAAUUUUAAAUAUGUUCUAUAAUUUUAAUUGAUAAUAAUACUAUUAUGUUAUAGUUUUUUCCUUUUUAUAAUACUUAUUAUACAUGAUUUAUAAUACAAAUGCAGUUUACCACCCACGUUUGAUUAUUUUUGGUCUUCGAUUUAAUUUGAUGUGGUCAUUUUAAACUGUGAUCAGAUAUCGUCAGCUGUUUAUAACCUAAAGUAGGGUGGUUCAACCUUUUGUAGUUGGUGUGCAAAUUUAUACUUUUAUAAAAACUAAGGGGGCAUUCAAAAGAAGAAAAAUGAUAUUAUUAAAAAUUUAUUUUAUUUAGAGAAAUAGAGAAUGCUCGCGAUUGUAAAUAGUAUUCAGACCGUUCAGGAAAACCCGCAUCCAUAAUAUUAGGAGGCAAAAAGGCCGACUUCCGAGAUCUUAUCUCGAAAUUUUUUAUCAGUCUUUUUUUUUUUUUGGGGGGGGGGGCAAAAAAAGGAUUCGAGGGUCACAAUUUGGACCACCCUGACCUAUGGUAUAAAAGCUAGAAAAUUAUAAAAAAAAUAAAAUUAAGAGGCGUUUUGGUAGUUUGGUAUUCGGUACUAAGUACCAUAAUUAUUAAUUUGGGCGUUUUAUAAAUGUCAGUGACGUAUACGUCUGGUUGUGACUCAUCCCAUUUUCGGAGCAAGUAUAAUGUCAAAUAAAAAUUUGUAUUCUUUUUUUAUUGAUUGAUAUGAAAGUUUUAAAUUAAUUGUGUCAUUAUUAUUUCCACAGCAAGUCAGCAAAGGUUGGUAGUAUUUUUCUAAUAUCGGACCCUGUAAUCAUCACCUAAAAAUAUAAGGGGGGCUUAAGUACCAAAAUUAUUUUAGGGAAAACAGAAGCUUUCCAUACCAAUCUUUACCAAAUAAUCUGUUACAUUUGAUAACUUUAUAAUUAAAUAAAAUUUAUCAUAGAUUAAAAUCAAUUAUAACAUUUUAUGCGAAACAAAUUAUUUUAAUUUAAUAAUUAGUAAAAAUU